GAUGAACGCUGGCGGCGUGCCUAAUACAUGCAAGUCGAGCGAACGGACGAGAAGCUUGCUUCUCUGAUGUUAGCGGCGGACGGGUGAGUAACACGUGGAUAACCUACCUAUAAGACUGGGAUAACUUCGGGAAACCGUAGCUAAUACCGGAUAAUAUUUUGAACCGCAUGGUUCAAAAGUGAAAGACGGUCUUGCUGUCACUUAUAGAUGGAUCCGCGCUGCAUUAGCUAGUUGGUAAGGUAACGGCUUACCAAGGCAACGAUGCAUGGCCGACCUGAGAGGGUGAUCGGCCACACUGGAACUGAGACACGGUCCAGACUCCUACGGGAGGCAGCAGUAGGGAAUCUUCCGCAAUGGGCGAAAGCCUGACGGAGCAACGCCGCGUGAGUGAUGAAGGUCUUCGGAUCGUAAAACUCUGUUAUUAGGGAAGAACAUAUGUGUAAGUAACUGUGCACAUCUUGACGGUACCUAAUCAGAAAGCCACGGCUAACUACGUG
rnacentral:rRNA from 1 species